GCCGCCGGCUACACCGAGGGCGGCCGGCUGGCCCGGCUGAUGCCCGGCUGGCAGGUCAUCGGCUGGGCGCUGGUGUUCUGCCUGCCGCUGACGGUCCC
rnacentral:tRNA from 1 species